AUGAUUUUACCGUGACUCUAUCAUCAACUUUUUCACUAACCCUCCUCCAAAUCUUCCUUCUCCCAAAUUAUUGUUCCUUCCCUAAUCUAUUGUUCCUUCACGGAAUUGAUUGUUCAUUCACCAAAUCGAUUGUUCCUUCAACGAAUAAUUUGUUACUUCAUCGAAUCGGUUAUUACUUCGCCGAAUCGAUUGUUGCUUCACUGAAUCAUUUUCCCCCAAAUCAAUUUUCUUUCUAUGAAGUGAUUCUUCCUUCCCCGAAUCUAUUGUUCCUUCACCGAAUCGAUUGUUUCUGUUUCAUAGUGAUUUACUCAGCUCUUUCGUUUUGCAGUGGCUCUCCUACCCAUAUCGAUUUCCUAUUUUCCAUACCCCAAAUUGAUUUCUCUUCUUCAAAUAAUUUUUAUUUCUACAUAGAAAUCUUCUAGAUUUGUGGUUUUCUUUUAAGAUAUCCCAAACUGAUGCUACCAAAUUGAUUGGAGUUCAAGAACUGUUUGCGAGAUUUCGUCUUUGGUCUUGUGUGUUCUUUAUUCUAUGUAAUACUUUGUUCAGGAUGAACUUGUUUGAGUCGUAGCAAUGGAGGAGGCAUAAUUUAACUUGAGUCGUAGCAAGAGAGUAACAAUACUUCAGUGAAGUUAGAAGAGGAAAAGUCAAUGACAAAUUGAGAGGUUUGAAUAACAUUGUUCCAGAAUGUUACAAGACCAUGGAAAUGGCACUAAUGUUGAAUGGAAUCAUAAACUAUGUUCAUUCAUUGGAGCAUCAAGUAGUGAACAGAUAGUACUUUAGCCGAAUGACGCAUGUAAUGAGGAUGAAGUAGGUGAAGAACUUCAAGAGGAUGAUAUUGGUGAUGAAUUUCACGAGGACGGCAAAAGUGAUGAAUUUUAAGAGGAGUUCGAAAAAGUUAAUUAGUUGGAUGAUGAUGAUGUUGUUUUAGGCUUGUAAUUAAGUAUUAAACUUAUAAUAUUAAGUAUUGUUAGAAAUUAUAAACUUAAGUAUUAAGUAAUGUUAGAAAAUUUAAAUUUAUAGUGUUAUGUAAUGUUAGAAAAUUUCUUUCUAUUAGGUGUAUUUGAGAUAAUGUAUGAUUUUAUUAACUCAACUUUUGUAGUGGCAAUUUAUGUUUAGUGCAAUUCUUGGUAAAAAAAUAUUCCUUGUAAAUUAUAGGUACAUCUAUGAAGUUUAUUCGCUGUUUCACUUUCAAGAAACAAUUUGUAUUUGUUGUUGGAUAUGGAAACGUUUGAAAAUUGUUGCAAUAGACUGCUCUCAUUCUACAAUUUUAGGGAACAAUUUGAAUGCGUUGCAAUUUUUAGCAACACUUUAACAUUGUCGCCCAAGAUAAAGCAAAAAACGUCCCCUUUUCCUACAGUUUAGGCGACGUUUAAGAAAAGUGUGGCCAAAGAGCAAUAAAAAACGUUGCCUUAAUUAAUAGGCAACGCUUGCACAGAAGACGCGUGGAAAACGUCCCCUAUUCUUUAAGGCAACGUUUUUUACAGUUCUGGCAACAAUUUUCAAUUGUUGUCAAAGAGCAAAAAUGUUGUAG